rnacentral:rRNA from 1 species
AGAGUUUGAUCCUGGCUCAGAAUCAACGCUGGCGGCGUGCCUCAGACAUGCAAGUCGAACGAUUAAGACUUCCUUCGGGAAGUGCAUAAAGUGGCGCACGGGUGAGUAACACGUAAGUAAUCUACCUUCGAGUGGGGAAUAACAACCGGAAACGGUUGCUAAUACCGCAUAACGCAGCGGCACCUAAUGGUGACAGUUGUUAAAGGAGCAAUUCGCUUGAAGAGGAGCUUGCGGCAGAUUAGCUAGUUGGUAAGGUAAUGGCUUACCAAGGCUUCGAUCUGUAUCCGGUCUAAGAGGACGGUCGGACACACUGACACUGAAUAACGGGUCAGACUCCUGCGGGAGGCAGCAGUCGGGAAUUUUGGGCAAUGGGGGAAACCCUGACCCAGCAACGCCGCGUGAAGAAAGAAGUAUUUCGGUAUGUAAACUUCGAAAGAAUGGGAAGAACUCAAUGACGGACCCAUUAUAAGUCCGGUC